UCUGCGAUAGUUUAGUGGUAGAAUACCUGUCGGUCUCACAGGUGGCGGAGGUUCAAUUCCUUCUCGCAGAG